AUCGCUCAGAUCAUCCUCCCGGUCGAUGCACCCAAAAGGUGUGCUCCAGGGAGGGUAUCGGUCACCUUCUCGGUCGAUGCACCCAAACAGUGUGCUCCAGAGAAGGGGAUCGAGCGGGAGUGCCCUGGGCCCUCUCCUUAGCCCACAAGGCUAGAGUUGUCUGUCUUGUAUUAGCUAUUGUGUGGUACGUGCUACUAAACAGCUUUCACUUUCAGUUAUUGUGUGUGACCCGUUUGCUUCCACCAUUGGACCGGCUACUCCCCUGGGAGCUCCGUGAGCAGCAGAGAGCUCCCAGUUGGCGAGCCAGCCAGGAGAACACAGACGAAGUAGAGUGAGCCAUCCUUCCAGCCUCUAAAGCCUCAAUGAAUGCCUCCAGCUGAUAUAUGUGGAGAAUGAAUGGACCAUAGAAGGGCAAGUUAGAAGCAAAGAAGUUAUUAAAGAAGACAAGGUGAAGGACUCAGAACCUUGUAUCUAGAAUAUCACCAUACCUGUGAAUGAAAUGCAUCUGCUCCAAGUAGACACAACCUUUUGAAAUAUCUACACACAGAUCUACAAGGUCAACCAAGGUGAGUAAAGGACCAUGAAACUGUAAGAAAUGAAAGAAAAGUUACAGGUAGUUUUCCAGUUUGUACAAAACAUACAUGUGAUGUUUUAAAGGUAUUUUUAGUUUGGGUUACAAGAAUUCAAACAAGGAAGGAAAGAGGUAGAUUUACUACUUUCUACUGAAAUAUACAUAAGUAAGAUUUUUUUAGUAGAGUCAAUAUAGGAUCUUUAUUGGAAAGAUCUCAGGGUGUCAGUACAGAUAGACCAAGAUUUGAAGCCUAGUUCUGCUACUUAUGAGCUGUGUGAACUUGCUCAUGUUGCUUAAUUCACUAAACAACUUUCUCAUCUGUGAAAUGGGAAUAAUAAGACUAGUCAUAUAGAAUCUGAGAUAAGAUUAUAUACAUACAACAGGCCCACAAUAAAUAGUAGCUCCAUCAGAAGAUGUAAGAAUGAUAAUUUAAUCAGUACUAGUUAGGUUAAUUAUUGGCCCAGUGUCACACUGUAAUGCCAGGCCAUGGCCUUGUUCCUCAGAUGAGCCCCCAUAUAAAUGGUUAGCAGCACUCUAUUUCAAGGUCACAGAUGACUCCUCGCCUCCAGAGAGCCAGCAUGCCUAUAUAGUUGAACCUAUGCCAGCUGCACUGAUUUCUACAUAAAAAAGUCAGUGGAAGUUUUCAUUGGUAUCAUCUAGAAAAAAAUUUAAAGUUCCUUCCCCAAGGUUACACUCAAAUCUUGUCUUUCCCUUGCCAUUUCUCUGCAAAUACCCUGGCUCAGGCCAUUAUCUUCCCUAUCUGACGCAUUCCAAACUUAAUCCUGAUUUCCAUCCACAUCCUUCACUGAGCAACUCAAAUGAUUCCCAAACUUGAAAUCCCUCAAUUUCUCAUAGAUGAGCGCUCUUAAGUGCUGCUCCCUCUGUCUCCCCCAACAAGCUCAUGUUUUGUCCCCAGACUAGGAGGACCUUCCAUGUUCUCAGACUCAACAUCACCAUAGUCCCACUGGACCACACCUGAUCUUACUCCUAGGAAUCAAUCCCCUUGCAACAUGGUUCACAUCCAGCAGACACCGGACACAGGCCUCUUGGCCUAGGUCUGAGCUCCUGCCUGGUAUCCUGACUGGUUCCUCAGUUCCUCUGUGAGUGGAAUCCUGUUCUGCCUUUGGCAAAGCCCACUCUACUGAAGAUGCUCCUUGCUUAGAAUCAAAUCUUUCUUCUGAACUUCAGGCUGACGGCUAGCAUCACGCUCCCUGUGUACAGAUUUUAAUGCUGCCUGCCUGCCUAGGUGUCUAACUAUCCCUUGCUCCUGACAGCCCCUGUGACAACCUUUUAGGAUACUUCAUCACCCCAUGUUGUGGCUCCUGGACUCCAGAUGCUCCUGCCCUGAGCUGUCACCUGUCAUCUCUUGCCAGCCCCCCAGACAUACAGAGCCUCCACCUGGGUCUGAUCCUGGUCAUGGAUUUUCAUGACUCAUGUGGGAAGAUGUUGUUUCAGAGACUGUUUUCUCCCCUACUUUUAUUGUGUCUCAAAUGGAAGACCUCUUCCAUGAAGCCUUCCCAGUUCUUCUGAGAUGGAAAUCAUCGCUCUCCUCUUGGCUUCCACAAUAUAGUCUCUACUGUACUCCAAUAGGCCCUCCCACUUUCUGUCUUAGAUAGGUUAUUUAUAUGUGACUUACCUCUCUACUGUGUGGCAAAGUCCUUGAAAGCAAGAGCCACAUCCUUCACUAUUGUAUGAUAAACAUGCAGCAAAAAACACUUACGAAUUGAUUGUAUCUAGCUAUUUAUACUAUUUUGAUAGGUUGGUUUUGGUUUUGUUUUUUACUUUCUUCUGUCCUAAUAGAACCUUAGGCUAUCAGAGCUUAAAAAGAAAGAAGAGCCUGAGAACAUUUUCAAUUCAAGAUCCCAUUUUAUAGAUGCAGAAACUGAGGUCCUGAGAAUAAAAGACUGGACCAAGGUGUAUGGGGCUAGAUGAGUCAAUCCUGGUGUAUUUGACCCAGCACUGCCAUCUUGGACCUGGGAUAGGGAAAGCACACGUGUGGCUGUUCUGGAAUGUUGCCUCUGAGCAUUCUCUGUGGAGGAAAGGCUGGCUCCAAAUGAACUUAACAUAAUGGGGACUUAGAGCCUGUGGUAUUCUGGCACUCAGCACCUACCAGCAUUCUACCCACUGGUGGGAGUAAGGGCAGUCAGGCACAGAAGCUAUCCUGCCCAGGAAAGGCCACGGAAGAACCCUUGAGAACCAGUCAGUAGAGCCAUCAGAAUCCUGACUAAAUAGGAAUAAUCUGAAAAGAGCUGGCCCAUGUUUUCCAUUUCGCUCCCUCUUCUUGACCCCAAACAAACAAAGCACAAUCUACAGAUAAAUGGUCUUGUUAAAGAUGGGGACUAAGUGCGUGCAUUUUUAGUCCCACUCUCUCCCCAAACCUUAUUAAGAUGACAGUAGAAGGAAAAUGGUUAUAAUCUUACAAGUACAAAUACAUCAGGAAAAUAAGUUUAGUGCAUGAAACAUUUGGGGGAAUCAAAGUGGAUGGAGGGAUGGUCCUUCAGCAGAGCUGAGAGACAGCUGGGCUGUCUGCAGGGGGAGAGGCAAGAUAUGGCUGUGUUUCACUAGAAAACUCUCUACAGGCUCUGCAGUUGGAGGUAGCAGACAUCUCUGAAUGCAGGAGUGAGGGGCAAGCCUGGAAGCAAGAGGAAUGUUUGGAAGUUUAUUUUAGGAGCUAACUAGAUCCCAGGUCCUCCCACCACAGCAGGAGGCUUUCCACUGUAGAAAACACACACACACACACAUACACACACACACACACGCACGCACACAGAAUUAGAACAACUCCAAGUUCAAAGAUAUCAGUCACACUCAGACACUGUGCUGAAAAUGGAGAGGAAAAUUAAGUGGGAGCCCCUAUACUCAGCCCUUGGACCUUCACCCUCUCCCCUCUCACCUCCCUGAACUGAGGCUUAGGCCCUGAUAGCCCAGGCAGGACAACAGCAGAUUCCUCCCUGGGGAAAGUGGGGUGUGCCAGCGAAGACACCCAGAUACUGUCCUUAGGGGAUUUGGGAACCCCCAGUGAAAAAGCAGGGUCCCACAUGACAACCAAAAGGAAGCUACCACAGUGUGUCUGUGGUUCCAGUCAGCCUCUUAGAACUCACUGUUAAAUAAGAAGACCAUCCACAAAUCAACAAAGUGCUUGAUAAAAUGUCUCACAUUACAAACAGAUCUCAGAACAAAGAGGAUAAAGGAGUCAGGACAAUGCAGGAAGCAAAUUAAUACUUUAAAAAACUAUAGUUAGUGUCCUAAGAAAGAUCAGAGAAGAUUUUGCCCAUAUGGAAAAAAAUCCAAUAUUAUUUUAAGAAGCAAUCAAAACAUAAGAAUGAUUUCGUGGAAAAUUAAAAUCUUAAAUUCUAUUUUAAAAAUUACAGAAAGCUCCCAUAAUUGAGAGCACAAAUACAGAGUUGGAAAAUAGACGAAAACUGCUAACAGAACAAAAGGAUAAAACAAAGCAGCCCAUUAUCCAGCUAAUAGAGUUUUGAGAACAAGGAAAUCGAGAGAACAAAGAAUUUUAUUUAUUAUCAAAAAAUAAUAUAGAAAAAUACCCAGAGCUAAAAGGGGUGAUUUUCCAGACUCAGAGUCCAGAUUGUUAAAAAGUACCACAGAUAAGAAGUUCCUAAAAUUUUCCGGAGAGGAGGAGCAGAAAGCAGGUCACUGAUCGCAAGUCCAAGAAUCAGAAUGGCAUAAGACUUCCUAAAGGCAACUGUACAAGCCAGAAAACCAAAGUGAAGGGGUUUUCAGCCUAGAAUCCACCCAACUUAUUCAUCAAGUGUGAGGGAAGAAAAAGGACAUUUUUCUCAAAAAGAGGGGUAAAAAGAAGACUUUUGCCUCACAUGCAUGCCUUCUUGUGAUUUCUCUCAUUCACAACCAAACAAAAAAGUCAUGGAAUAGAGGAAACUAUGGUCCAGCAAGGAAAUCAGCAGGGUAAAUCUGAAAGGAACCCCAAGGAUAACAGAUCUGCAGGGCGCCCAGAAGACAAGCACCUGUAUUGGCUCCAGGAGACUGUCCAAGAAAAAAACCUGUCAGGUGCUGGAUCAGCUGAUCUAUUUAACCCCAAUGACCGAGGUGCUACAAUUCUGUCAGAGCUGAGGUAUAUAAAAAAAAAAAAAAAAAAAAUGAAGCAACUGGGGAAAACAAAAGAGGCGUUUAUUAUUCUCGCCCAAAGUGGGGAAGAAAACACAAUAACAGCUUUUGAGUAACUCAGCUGUAAGUAGUAGUCAUAGUAAUGUAAGUCUGCACUAUUGAUUAAUCUGAAAAUUUUGAUAGCGGUUGGAGGAUGGGGAAACACACUUGCCAAUGUGCAAGGCUGGUGGGGUGUCGUUUGGUCCUGGGUCAGUCCAAGACAGUUAAAUUCUCACCUCUUAAAGGAGGGAGUCAGGAGAUUUCCUCCAAGACUGAAAAAAUCCAUGUGCAGCAGUCUACAUGGAGUGUGCAGGAGCAUAGAGGUAAAUACCAGAAGAAACGUGUAGAUGCCUGCCAUGUGGGAAUGAGACAGUCUUUCGCUAUAAACCGUGUUUUCUAUUUCAGUGUUUUAGUCACAGAACA